ACAAAAUCGCGUCACGCUGGAUUCGAACUCACCUGAGCAAAAGGUAACAUCUACAGCGAGGUCUUCACUUUACCUCCGAGCUAACCGAGCAAUCAAAUUAUUGAUGUCCAGUCACGUAUUGAUCAAGCACCUCAUCAUCCAGGUAACACUUUGUUUGGGCUGAUCUAAAACAACUGGUUACCUUGAGCGAUCUUAAAAAUACCAGAACGUGUUUAUCAAGGUGUUUAUCUCGAGGCUUCGGCAAUGUGGACCCCUGCAUUACAGCCCUCUCACAUGCUUUUACACAGUGACGCGCUAACUCCGACAAUACUGUGAAAACAUGAAUUUAUUGUCAACACCGAGCCACAGGAAGAGAAGUGGAAAAGUUCGAAUCCAGCUUGACGCGAUUUUGUCAAAAGUCUAUUUUCUUUCAUUUCUUUUUUCAUACGUCGCUGUAAUGUAGUGCUCACUUAUACAAUCACGAUCGCCGCAGUAGAUUAAAGACGCGAUUUGAAACUCGCCAGGAAUAUGUUUGUGAAUGUGUGACGAAUCUGGGGAUGGAGUGGUUGCCAUACACGUUAGUUAGUUUGAAAACCAGCAGGGCUACAACACCGGUGUUUAUUUUGUUUGCAGCGGAUACACACAAAAAACCCUCCCAUGCAGUAGUGCACACACAUGUUAGAGCAAAACCUACAUGCGUCUCCACACAUAUUGUCUGUUAUUUGUUAGUUUUAUGGACCACUGUGGCUUAACACGCUUUACUAAUCUCCUCACCCUGCUCGCGUGCUGGCAGGAGAAAACACCUGAACUCUGCGGUUUCUCAGUCACACCAGGCUCAAUCUAAAUCACUUUUGCCUUAAGUUGCGUCUCACCAGAGUCUUCAAUCCGUGCAUGUUUAACCACCAAAUCUUGUAGUUGGUGCAGACCUGGCUGUGACCUUUUUUUCGGCCCCAUUGCGGCGCUCCUCCUGCAGCAGCCUAUCACCGCUCCACAUGACUCCUACAGGCACCAAUGGCAGCGCGCUAACACGUGAGCUAUUAAUAGGACGAUGAAUCAACUUAUUUUAUAGUGAGGAGGACUAUGCUGCUGGUAGUUACACCAAGUAGCCACUAUGGCUAGCCGAGGACCGGUGAGUCUGCGUCUCCUGCUGCCCACACAUGGUGGAAACUGUGAGCAUAUAGUCACGUGUCAAACUCAAACUGAAGAUCGAUAAAUGAUACGGGAAUUGUAAACAGAUGUUGCACCAACCUGACUGGAAGAAGUAGGCAAAUAUAGACAGAAACAGGCAGAUCAUGGUCGCCGGCGGGACGGAGCGCACUGGGGAAAGGACGGAAGAAAGGUGGACGGACGGACGUAAGCACGCACGUUGCUUAGGAAUGCUCCCCAAAGCGCGGGCACGUGGUUUUCCGUGGCUCACGAGGAGCGGCCGAAAUAUAUAUAUAUAUAUAUAUAUAUAUAUAUAAUUUUUUAUCAUGUGUAACUGUCCAUGUGUAAGCUGUCCAUUUUAUACAGUCUAUGGUUAUCAUGUGUGCUCAAAAUAAGUGACUUUAUGUCUUAUCAUUUUGACAUAUCUCAAUCAAAAUUGAUUAGUUAAAUUUGACUUUGACAUGUGGUAUGUGGCUGCUGUUCCACUCCCCAACAGGAAUAAAGAGCAUGUUAUUAUCCAAGUGGUAUAUGGAUAGUAUACAGUAUAGUGAAUCAUAAGUGAUAUACCAUUAAUAAGAACAGCAGCAACACACCAACAGUGACCACUCAAUCAGAAUCAACAUAUGCUGCUAGAAUAAUUAGCAUAACAUAACCCACUGCACUCUAAGUUUGACUAAGACACACUUAACUAAGAGUUUUAAGUAAUAUUUCACCUUUUUAUUAUUUUGCUAGUGGAAAUGGGCUUCCAUAAAAACCCAUCUAGUGCAUGAAAUAAUGUAUGUCCUAAUAGUCAAUAGCUGCCAUUUACAGUUUGUUUCAUAGAGCACUUGGAGCAAAGGUGUAGAAUUUAAUAGCGAUGUGCCUACCAAUGUCUAGCGACUGUCCCGAAUAAUAGUUUUGAUCAAGACAAAUAAAUAUAACAACUGUUGUCUGUCA